rnacentral:rRNA from 1 species
AUGGCCGCUGAACUGAUGAACCGUUCCCGUGGCUUGGCCGAAGGAGCUGUGGUCAUGGUAUGCCCAGUGCUUCUAGCACUGGCUCUUGACAAGGUCGACCUCAAAGUGUAUGGACGCCCUGCUUUCUUCGCCAUGCUUGCCAUGGCAGGUAUCACUUUAAUAAGCGGAAUCUGCCCCUUGCUCGUGUGCUGCUUCUCCAAGAGGUUCCCGAACAUGGGUAACAUCGAACCUGCCCCGGUGACCGCGAGCCUGGCAACCCUCUCAUCUUCUUGCCUCCUCAUCCUCGCCUGCUUCAUCGCGCAGCUCGUUGUCUCCAAACAAGUUCUAAUCGCCGUGGGCGUCCUAUGUGGAGCCUUCAUCCUAGUUCGAGCGGUCUCGUACUGCCUCGGCGGAAAUGGUGACCCGUAUUCACUGUAUCUGCACAAGGUACUGGAUGAAUCGCAUGAGUUCUUGACGGGCGUCACUGGAAUCAUCUUUCUGGGGCUUGAAGGUUUGGCACUGGAAGGUCAUGAGAAUCAGAUGGUUCAGAAGGCCGGGCCUGUGGGCACCAUCAGCUUCAUAGUUUGCGCACUUGGUGUGUGCAUGAUGUACCUCGAGAUGAUCCCCCCUUUAUACUUCGAGGAAAGGGGAGAGGGAGAGAUUGUGUGUUUAACUCUGAUGCUCGACAGCAUCAUGGCUGGUGGUACCUUCACGGUGUUGUUGGUUGUCAUGUUUAAGCUCAUGGGGCCUCCAGCCCUGAUGCUCUUUGCUCCUCCAGUAUUGAUAAUCGUCGAACUUGCGUAUCAAGUUGCCGUCGAUCGGAGAUCCCUUCUCGCCGACCAAGCACCCGGAGUUGUCCAAGCGUCCACAACGGCUUCGUUGGAACUGACAAGAGUCACCUUCACUGGAUUCUUGGCUGUGUCGAUAACAACCAUCCGCAACACUUCGUCCAGCAUGUUGACCAGUUGUUUCCUACUAUUUGCAGCAUCGGCUAUUGUGUUUGGUCUCACAUGGAGGCUCCUGUCACAGACCCAGAUAAGGAGCCGUCUGGCCCAUCGUGCUUUAUCAGAUCUUGUUGCUUCCUCUGCCGACCUGGCUUCCUUGUGCACGCAUUUCUGCAUUGUAAUUGCUACGAUUCUAUUCCUAGCAAUGGCCGGGACAACCACAGAAAAAUGA